UACGAAGGGGGCUAGCGUUGCUCGGAAUCACUGGGCGUAAAGGGUGCGUAGGCGGGUCUUUAAGUCAGGGGUGAAAUCCUGGAGCUCAACUCCAGAACUGCCUUUGAUACUGAGGAUGCUUGAGUUUCGGGAGAGGUGAGUGGAACUGCGAGUGUAGAGGUGAAAUUCGUAGAUAUUGGGAAGAACACCGGUGGCGAAGGCGGCUCUCUGGACCGACACUGACGCUGAGGCGCGAAAGCGUGGGGAGCAAACAGG
rnacentral:rRNA from 1 species